rnacentral:tRNA from 1 species
CGCGGGGUGGAGCAGUUUGGUAGCUCGUUGGGCUCAUAACCCAAAGGUCGUUGGUUCAAAUCCAGCCCCCGCUACCA